rnacentral:tRNA from 1 species
GUAGUUCAGCAGUAAAAUAUCUGCUUUGCAUUCAGAAGGUGUCGGGUUCAAUCCCCACGCCCU